GCUUGCAGCUGCAGGAGGCAUGUUUGCUGAAUGAACAAGUAAAUGAAGGAGCGCGUGAAUGACAGCACGCGUGGGCUGACUGUUGCCGCCUUCUGAGUACCCAGGUUCUAGAGAAUUCUCCAAGUCACCUGCCCCCAAAUGACUCAAAGAUUGAUUUCUUCAUUCCUUCUAAUAUUACCAUCAGCAUCUAACAUCUAACCUUUACAAAAUCAAAAAUGAUGAAAACUAAAUAAUUCAACACAGAGACAGCUAGGCAGAAGACAGAUGGACUAUGCAGUAUGUUUGGUUGUGGGGCUGUCAGCUGUCUCCGUAAUUAAGAACCUAUGCUCACGAGCCAGCUCCACAAUCUCUGAAGACGGGGCUUUGGAGAUAAAGUCAAGGAGGAAUUGAGGAUAAAGGAAAACAGAAAACAGAGACUCUGGAAAAAACUAAGAUGAAAUCAGAAAUGAGUGAAAUAAACAAAACAGAAGAGGAGACUCCUGUUUCUUGGCCAUGAUACUGAAGUUAGCAUUGUGGAUUAUCCUAAUGCUAGGCCAAGAAGGAAAAUAGUCUUCACUGUGUCUCUCUGGCUGCAUACAAGAGUUGUGAGGCCUUCAUUAACCACCCUCUGGAGGAGCAGUUGACUCCAUCAGCCAAACAGCUACUGAAGGUUCACCUAUUUCUGGACAGGGUCUGGCUGCUGUCUCUUGUGGUUCUGGCUCUCCAGGUCGCACCCACCCACUCCCUUGGCUACCAGCAUGUUCUUCCACACCCUUCACAGAGUUUGCCUCACAUCAUUUUUGUUCUCACAUUGUGGUUUCUAUCAAGAAUAUUCUCUGUCCCCAUCUUCCAAGGUUCAGGCUAAUGCUACUUCCUCUAGAAUGUAAGCCUUCCUUGCUGUGCCUGUUACCUGCUUCUCCCUUUACCUGGGCCUUUGCUUAUCUUUAGGAUCCCUAGCUCAUUAUACUUAUCGCCUUUGCCUAACUGUAAAAUUCUUUGGGGGAGGGGAGAGGUGUGCCUCAUACCGUAAUUAAACAUCUCGAGUUGGUGCUCGAUACUUGCUUCUUUGAUUGAUUGAAUGAAUGGCCUGUAUUUAGUAAGACUUGAGAUUCUGUGUAAAUUGCACAGGCUUGGCUUUCUUCCCAACUCCGAGUGAGCUAUUCUUUCCGAGCUGCUUUUGAUUUUAA